rfam:Salmo salar isolate Sally breed double haploid chromosome ssa17, whole genome shotgun sequence.
UGCACUCACUACUGUAAGUCGCUCUGGAUAAGAGCAUCUGCUAAAUGUCAACAU